GGAUGUAGCUCAGUGGUACAGCACCUGCCUGGAAAGCACGAGGCCCUGAGUUCAAUUCCAGGUACCA
rfam:Heterocephalus glaber contig100256, whole genome shotgun sequence.